GGUUAAGCGACUAAGCGUACACGGUGGAUGCCCUGGCAGUCAGAGGCGAUGAAGGACGUGCUAAUCUGCGAUAAGCGCCGGUAAGGUGAUAUGAACCGUUAUAACCGGCGAUUUCCGAAUGGGGAAACCCAGUGUGAUUCGUCACACUAUCAUUAACUGAAUCCAUAGGUUAAUGAGGCGAACCGGGGGAACUGAAACAUCUAAGUACCCCGAGGAAAAGAAAUCAACCGAGAUUCCCCCAGUAGCGGCGAGCGAACGGGGAGGAGCCCAGAGCCUGAAUCAGCAUGUGUGUUAGUGGAAGCGUCUGGAAAGGUGCGCGAUACAGGGUGACAGCCCCGUACACAAAAGCGCAUGUGCUGUGAGCUCGAUGAGUAGGGCGGGACACGUGGUAUCCUGUCUGAAUAUGGGGGGACCAUCCUCCAAGGCUAAAUACUCCUGACUGACCGAUAGUGAACCAGUACCGUGAGGGAAAGGCGAAAAGAACCCCGGCGAGGGGAGUGAAAAAGAACCUGAAACCGUGUACGUACAAGCAGUGGGAGC
rnacentral:rRNA from 3 species